rnacentral:rRNA from 1 species
AUUGAACGCUGGCGGCAGGCCUAACACAUGCAAGUCGAGCGGAUGAAGGGAGCUUGCUCCUGGAUUCAGCGGCGGACGGGUGAGUAAUGCCUAGGAAUCUGCCUGGUAGUGGGGGAUAACGUCCGGAAACGGGCGCUAAUACCGCAUACGUCCUGAGGGAGAAAGUGGGGGAUCUUCGGACCUCACGCUAUCAGAUGAGCCUAGGUCGGAUUAGCUAGUUGGCGGGGUAAAGGCCUACCAAGGCGACGAUCCGUAACUGGUCUGAGAGGAUGAUCAGUCACACUGGAACUGAGACACGGUCCAGACUCCUACGGGAGGCAGCAGUGGGGAAUAUUGGACAAUGGGCGAAAGCCUGAUCCAGCCAUGCCGCGUGUGUGAAGAAGGUCUUCGGAUUGUAAAGCCCUUUAAGUUGGGAGGAAGGGCAGUAAGUUAAUACCUUGCUGUUUUGACGUUACCAACAGAAUAAGCACCGGCUAACUUCGUG